UGGUUGAUGAUGAGACCACUGCACAUCUGAGUUCACAAUCUGGGAACCAGAUGAUGGAGUGGAGCUUGGACUGAGACCA